AACGUAGGUGGCGAGCGUUAUCCGGAUUUACUGGGCGUAAAGCGUGUGCAGGCGGGGUAUCAAGUGGUGUAUGAAAUCGCUCGGCUUAACCGGGCGCGGUUAUGCCAGACUGAUACUCUGGAGUGCGGGAGAGGGGCGUGGAAUUCCGGGUGUAGUGGUGAAAUGCGUAGAGAUCUGGAGGAACCCCAGAGGCGAAGGCGGCGCCCUGGCCCGACACUGACGCUCAGACACGACAGCAUGGGGAGCGAACGGG
rnacentral:rRNA from 1 species